GAUGAACGCUAGCGGCAGGCUUAACACAUGCAAGUCGAACGGCAGCGGACCUUCGGGUGCCGGCGAGUGGCGAACGGGUGAGUAAUGCAUCGGAACGUGCCAUUGAGUGGGGGAUAACGUAGCGAAAGUUACGGCUAAUACCGCAUAUUCUGUGAGCAGGAAAGCAGGGGACCGCAAGGCCUUGCGCUCUUUGAGCGGCCGAUGUCAGAUUAGCUAGUUGGUGAGGUAAAGGCUUACCAAGGCGACGAUCCGUAGCGGGUCUGAGAGGAUGAUCCGCCACACUGGGACUGAGACACGGCCCAGACUCCUACGGGAGGCAGCAGUGGGGAAUUUUGGACAAUGGGGGCAACCCUGAUCCAGCCAUGCCGCGUGAGUGAAGAAGGCCUUCGGGUUGUAAAGCUCUUUCAGACGGAAAGAAAACGCAUCGGUGAAUACCCGGUGUGGAUGACGGUACCGUAAGAAGAAGCACCGGCUAACUACGUG
rnacentral:rRNA from 1 species